GUACUUUGUUACUUAUCUUUAAUUAGUUGAUAUUGAAUAGGAUAAAGAUUAAUAACACUUUUUUCAGUUAAAAAAAAUUCAUUUACAGGUAUCAUGUUCCAAAUAUUGUCAAUAUAAAAACGAAAGAGACAGACUUGCCUGCGUUUUAUUUUGAUCCGUUAAUCAAUCCUAUCGCACAGAAAACCUCAGUGCAGAGUUACACAUCUAAUGUGGUUUCCAACGUGAGAACAUUGCUUUAUAUAAUUUAAAAUACAACAAUUCACAUCAAGUACGUCUGUUUCAAUAUCUACAAUGUUUUUGUUAUAAUUCUCUCUGAAGAUGGCAGAGCCACAAAAUGAAGGAGAUGAGGAAUUUUUUCUUUUUGAAGAUGUUGUACUUCUUCAAGAAAUUCUUUUCACGAACAACACGGCAAACAGUAUAGCCCUGCUUUGGGCCACGAGGUCAUUUAGCACGCGAUCAGGAAGAAUACUGAGAGCAAUCGCUGUACCUUGUAUCGCGGUAAGCCCUGGUAUCGUGAACUGUUCACGUGGGCAGUCAGUGAAAGCUCGAGAAAGAAGCGUUACCUGUUUCGGCCUUUUAAAGCGAUAAAGUUCUUCAAAACGAUUAUCGGCUGGGCUGAAACUGGACUCCAGAUCUGUCGCCAAUGUUAAAAUAUGCUGACUCUGUUGAUCCAUCGAAGGAAUCUCAACUACCUUCCCAUAGAAUAUAACUUGGAUUUGAAACCGGUGAAGACACAGACGACUAAGGAAAGAAAGAAGUUUCUUUUCGGAAAUGUACGGAGGGGUGGCUUGGAAAUCUCUGCUUAAGACAGUUUGAAGAUAUAGUCAAAAAGAUGUCGCUGAAACAGCCCCGAAACAGAGUGGAAUCUCAUGUUGAUUCGAAACUGUGAGCAUCUUUAUGCGUAAUAUUGUAGACAUGAUGUUGGACGGAAUUAAAUAAAAUAAACCUUGAACAAUCCUUCAACAUCUUAGUGAAGUUUGUUGGUAGAAAGCCAACAUUUCAUGGAAAGUUCCAGAAUUAGCGAUUCUAAUCGAAAGCAUGAUUCCAAUAUAUGUGGAAAUAUAAGCCGACUGGAGGACCAACACUUCUCACUACAAUCCUGAACGAAUUCGGAGUGGAGCACGAUUUAACAAAACAGUGUGUAAGAAAAACCUUGAAGGACGUCUUAUUAUACAACUAGAUUUAAAAGCUGAACAAGAGAGACAACACAACGCCUUACUAGCUUGGAGUAGCAAGUCAAAUCGUGAUUAUUAUUGAAUUAUUGUUUUUUUUUUCAACUAAUAUUAGCUAAUUCAUAAACUCUAAAUUUAUAGUACGGUCGCCUAAGGUUAUUUAUAUAACAGGCAAUAUCAUGUCAUCCUGUCACAUAAACGGGCAAAACACCCCAUUUUUAGAAUAAAUAUUCCUGCCAAUUAUUAAUGUGAAAAAGGGGUCGGGUCGUGUUGGAACCACGACGGCGAAUUUCGACGAUCACACAAUUCAUACAAAAGAUAUUUGCAAUCAAAAUAACCUAGCCUAUAAUUUUCAACCAAUAAAUAACAUUACUUGAUUUUUAUUUUAGAAGUCUCUCAACUGUCAAACCUAAAAGUACUAGUAUGUGUACAGGUUAUUCAUAAGCUAAAUAACAAAUUGUUAUCACACACUUUAUUUUGCUUUAUUACACAGGAAUACAAAAUGGUUUUGGGAUUCUAAUAGGUAUACUUUAUGUUUUUGGGUCGCUGGACACAAAUUCAUUCGCAGAAUGGAGCCAGCACGUCAGGAUUUGCAGUAAAAUUUAAAAAAUGGUUAAAAACCUGGAAUUUCUGCGUAAAUUACGUACGCAAACCUACCAACUCCAAAUUAUCAAACCUCAUACCUACAAAUUAACAAGCCCCAAAUCUUACAACCCCCAAACCCACAAGCUCCAUAUCAACAAUCCCCAAACUGGCGAAUAAAAUUUGGAGACUUGAGUUCAGUUAAUGUCAAUGUAUAAAAAGUUUUGAAGUCUGACUAAAUCUUCCACUUUGUUCAACUUCUUAUGAUACUAUUCAAAGUCCCCUCGCCUCUCACGAGGGGUUUGUGGGUAUGGGGUUUUUACGUUUGUAGAUAUAGAGCUUGUUUGUUUCUGGAUAUGGAGCUUGUGUAUAUAAAGUUUGUGGGUUUGUUGAUAUGGCGCUUGUUAGUUUGAAGCUUGUUAAUUGGGGGUCUGUAGGUUUGGGGACGAAAUUUAUGCAGAAAUUCCAGGUUUUUAAUAAUUUUUUUGAAUUUUACUGCAAAUCCUAACGUGCUGGUUCAAUUCUGCGUAUGGAUUCGUGUUCAGCGACCCCAAAAACAUAAAUUAUACCUAAUUGAAUUCCAGUCGGCUCCCGCAAACAUAUUGUGGUCCUGUGUUAUUGUUCAUGAUUCAGGUCCUAGUUUCACCUCUCGCCUCCUUAUCUUAAGUAACAUCCCGUCGAUUACUAAUCGGUCACAUGUCAAGUCCAGUAUGAAAAAAAUUAAUUCAAUUAAUUUUAACUUAUUAUUCAAAGUUUAUAACUCUUGACAUGUUGGUCAUCCGUAUUCAGAUUUUCAAGUUUUUACGGUUUCUAGCUUCACGCGACAUCUUCGUAAUAUUAAUUAUUCUAUUAUAAUGUUUCUCCCGGUAAGUUGUUAAGGUUCUAUCAUAUGUGUUCAGUAUUAAGUAAAGCACGAAUUUCGAAUAAUGAUUGGUCGUGAAAUAGGUU